rnacentral:misc_RNA from 1 species
UCUAAGGAUAUAAGCUGGACAUAUGAGCCAGACAAAAAAUGUUUGUUUGAUGGUUUUCUGUUUGUUUAGUUUUGAGGGAGCAAUUCUCUCAAAGCUUUUUUAAAUCGUUCUUUGAAAACUAGAUAAUCGUAUAGAAGAAACCAAGUAAAAACCGAGUAAAAUCGCCAUUUUAGUUUUUUCUCUCUAUUAAAUAGAGUAAAACCUUUUAGGUUAAGUUAGAAAGGGCGCACGGUGGAUGCCUUGGCACUAGGAGCCGAUGAAGGACGGGACUAACACCGAUAUGCUUCGGGGAGCUGUAAGUAAGCUUUGAUCCGGAGAUUU